UACGGGGGGAGCAAGCGUUGUUCGGAAUCACUGGGCGUAAAGGGAGUCUAGGCGGUUUGGUAAGUGGGAUGUGAAAUCCCCGGGCUCACCCCGGGACCUGCAUCCCAAACUGCUGAGCUUGAGUACAGGAGAGGGUGGGGGAAUUCCAGGUGUAGCGGUGAAAUGCGUAGAUAUCUGGAGGAACACCGGUGGCGAAGGCGGCAUUCUGGACCGAUAUUGACGCUGAGGAGCGAAAGCCAGGGGAGCAAACGGG
rnacentral:rRNA from 1 species